rnacentral:tRNA from 1 species
GAGGUCGUGGCUCAGCAGUAGAGCACUCACCUAGCAUGUGCAAGGCCCUGGGUUCAAUCCUCAGCACCUCA